rnacentral:lncRNA from 1 species
GAGAGGCCUAUAAAUUCAAGCCUUUGGAAAGGAAUGAAAACUCAAAACAAAAAUUUCAAGUAGGCCUGAAGUACUAUCUUACUAUGGCGAUGUUUAAACUUGGUUUGGUUCUCACUAUUCUUCUCGUGGCAACUACAUGUUAGUAUCCCUUUAUCUUUAUCUCUAAAUUAUUAUUGUGUUGUCAUUAACUCGUUCUGUAUAUGAUAUAAAAUAAAAGGGACAGUCCAGUGCACAAAGUAUCCCGUAUAUUUGCAGUAUUCGGGGAAUGGCCGCAUUCCAAGGAUUGUGAUGUAGACAGUCUACCCUAAUGCAAGCAUUAGUGGUUGCUUCCAUCGCUCGAACCUCUGACCUAUAUGUUACAGGAAGACAACUUUACUGUUGCUCCAAAACUCUCGUUCUAAAUGAUAUACAAUAUACACAUAUUUGAUAUGUAUGCAUGAAUAUGCAUGCGUUCCUAUGUAUUGCGAUUGAUUGUUUUGCUUUUCAUGUUAUACUUGUCAUCUUUUAAUUUUGAUAAUUAUAUCGGUGAAAUAUUUCAGUUAAUAUGGUGUGGCUAUCAAACACACAUGUGGAUGCUGCACGAAAUGCUGAUAUGGAUAUUUCAGGACUGGAGAGGAGACUACUGCCACAACUUAAUUCCUGGAUUACCUGUAACAACAAAUGCAUCGUAAAUAGUGAUUGUCAUGGUUGCUGGUUUUGCUGCACAUGUACAACUUGGAAGUUAUGCGGGUAUAUUGCUUGAACGUAGUAUAUUACUGAUCAAUUGCAACAAACUCUGCAAAAUCCUCGCUAUGGGUCUGUGUUUCCGUGUGGUUUGAUUACUGUUUUUAUUUUGUUUUCAUGCUUUGUAUAAUAAUGAAGUCAAGUGAAGUGCUUUCUCUAUUGUAAGGAAUAAUAAUGUAUUACCGCUUGUUUGGAUGGUUGCUACUGUAUUACACCUUGUUUGUUUUGAUUGUUACUUAAAUUUUAUAUAUUGUAUUGUAUCGUUAAAUCCAUCAUUACGUAACAACAAAAAGUGUCACCUUACAAAACGACUGAUUUGGUGAAGUCGUAUCGUUACUUUAUUUUUUCUCUCAAUCUUGC